rnacentral:lncRNA from 1 species
CUGCUCCUUCAUCAAAUCCACACCAACACACCCCAAACCCACCCCCACCCCCUCCUUCAGGUCUUCAGCUCACGUGAGAGAAAGAGAUAUUUUUAGAUCUCUGUGGUUUAUUUUAGGAAACACUAGAGGGAACGAAGAGAGAAGAACCUGCAGCACGUGUCUCUGCAGGAGGAGGAGGAGGAGGAGAGGAGGAGGAGGAGGUGUUCUCCUGCAGGAGAGGAGGAGGAGGAGAGAGAGGAGGAGGAGGAGGAGAGAGAGGAGAGGAAGAGGAGAGAGGAGGAGGAGAGAGAGGAAGGAGAAGAGAAGGAGGAGAGAGGAGGAGAGGAGGAGGAGAGGAGGAGAGAGGAGGAGGAGAGGAGGAGGAGGGAGAGAGGAGAGAGGAGGAAGAGGAGGAGAGGAGGAGGAGAGGAGGAGAAGGAGGAGAGGGGAGAGGAGGAGAGAGGAGGAAGGAGAGAGGGAGAGGAGAGGAGGAGAGGAGGAGAGAGGAGGAGAGGAGGAGAGGAGGAGAGGAGGAGAGAGGAGAGGAGGAGGAGAGAGGAAGAGAGGAGGAGAGGAGGAGGAGGAGGAGGAGAGGAGGAGAAGGAGGAGGAGGAGAGGAGAGGAGGAGAGGAGGAGGAGGAGGAGAGAGGAGGAGAGAGAAGAGAGGAGAGGAGAGGAGGAGAGAGGAGGAGGAGAGAGGAGGAGGAGAGAGAAGAGAGGAGAGCAGAGAGGAGAGGAGAGGAGGAGGAGGAGAGGAGAGGAGGAGGAGGAGGAGGAGAGCAGAAGGAGGAGGAGAGAAGGAGAGGAGGAGGAGAGAGGAGGAGGAGGAGAGGAGUGGAGAGAGGGAGGAGAGAGAGGAGGAGAGGAGGAGGAGGAGAGAGGAGGAGGAGAGGAGGAGAGGAGGAGGAGGAGAGGAGGAGGAGGAGAGAGAAGGAGGAGGAGGAGGAGGAGAAGAGAGAGAGGAGGAGGAGGAGGAGAGGAGGAGGAGGAGGAGAGGAGGAGGAGAGGAGGAGGAGGAGGAGAGGAGGAGGAGGAGGAGAGGAGAGGAGGAGAGAGGAGGAGAGGAGAAGGAGAGGAGAGAGGAGGAGGAGAGAGGAGAGAGGAGAAGGAGGAGAGAGGAGGUGGAGGAGGAGGAGUGGAGGAGAGA